UACGUAGGGUGCGAGCGUUAAUCGGAAUUACUGGGCGUAAAGCGUGCGCAGGCGGGCUUUUAAGCCAGACGUGAAAUCCCCGGGCUUAACCUGGGAAUGGCGUUUGGGACUGGGAGUCUGGAGUGCGGCAGAGGAGACUGGAAUUCCUGGUGUAGCAGUGAAAUGCGUAGAUAUCAGGAGGAACACCGAUGGCGAAGGCAGGUCUCUGGGCUGACACUGACGCUCGUGCACGAAAGCGUGGGGAGCAAACAGG
rnacentral:rRNA from 1 species